rnacentral:rRNA from 1 species
AGCGAACGCUGGCGGCAGGCUUAACACAUGCAAGUCGAGCGGGCACUUCGGUGUCAGCGGCAGACGGGUGAGUAACACGUGGGAACGUACCAUUUGGUUCGGAAUAACGCUGGGAAACUAGCGCUAAUACCGGAUACGCCCUUUUGGGGAAAGGCUUGCUGCCGAAGGAUCGGCCCGCGUCUGAUUAGCUAGUUGGUGGGGUAAUGGCCUACCAAGGCGACGAUCAGUAGCUGGUCUGAGAGGAUGAUCAGCCACACUGGGACUGAGACACGGCCCAGACUCCUACGGGAGGCAGCAGUGGGGAAUAUUGGACAAUGGGCGCAAGCCUGAUCCAGCCAUGCCGCGUGAGUGAUGAAGGCCUUAGGGUUGUAAAGCUCUUUUGUCCGGGACGAUAAUGACGGUACCGGAAGAAUAAGCCCCGGCUAACUUCGUG